ACUUAAUCCAGAGACUCUCAGGUUUUUCUGCAGUUUCAUACCGGAGCUCUGAGCAGUCAUACUAUUAGACUAGAUUAGAGAGUAACACAGAGAGAGAGUCUCUAAGAGUGAGAGACACAGCGAGGCUACUCUCUUAGCAGAGCAAGUGAGAAAGAGACACACCAAGUCUAGUCUCUCAGAGGUCCCCAGCCAGGAGGGGAGAAAGGCGAAGGCAUUGGAGGCGGGCUCGGGACUCCGCAGUGGCGGCUCCGGUGCACUCAGACCCACCCGCUGCUCCAGCUCACUCACCUCUUUGCUCCGGAUACUGCGCAGCCACCUCUCACUCACACGGAGGCUACUUCCAGGACUAUGAAAGGUUUAAGGAAACACUGAAGGAAAUACAACCAGGAUUAAACAAUGUUGUGACCAUUCAGCAAAGCAACCCAAACCCUGAGUAGUUCAAAAAGAACCCUGGAUAUACAGUGGCACAAGACGAUCCAGAUAGAGCCCUGUGAAACCAGAUUUACGCCAAUGGAUCGAUACAGGUGAUCAUUGAGAUCCAAAUCUGGCCCAAGCUGGAAUAAUUUCUGUUAAACAUCAGUAAAAAAAAAAAAAGCAGAAUCCGUCCCUGAUUCAGAUGGCUGCUAGGAUUUGGGGAUUUCUGGGAGAAGCAACACCCCCACCACGAUCUUUGAUGCUUUCUGCUCUAGUGGUUCCAGGUACUGUGAUAGUACCACCCAUGGCCAGCAGGGUGUGCUCUUCAGGCGAUGCAGCUCCGACUCCCCAGGAUGGACAAAUUCCCCAGUUGCAGAGCACAGCCUCAGCGAGGGGAAUGUUCCACUGACGGCGGCGGUGGCAGCAGCAUUACAGCACCUUGCGGUGUCUCCGGCUAAAAUACACAGAUUAUCAUGUGGUUUGUGGCAUCGGUCCUGCCACCUUAAGAACUGGAGCUCCCCUGGCUGGAGCUGACAGAGAGGUGGAGGCUGCGGGUCUGAUCUGAGAUCUGCAAGGAGAGAGAGAAGAGUUAGGGUGGUGGGGGACCACCAAAAGCAAGGAACUGGCACAGCAGGGCAGCCUGUGAUUACCACCAUAUGGGUUACAGAAACACCCAGAGGCACCAAUCAAAAUCGGGGCCAUAAGACAGUUAUUGUUUGCUUCAUCAUUAAAAACAUUCCUGGUGACCAGAUACUCAACACAACUAAUAUUAACAACAAGGGGGAAGGAACACAGGCCAAAAUAGGGAAAGAACAGGUUAAAAAAUAUUUAGCGAAGUUCGAUGUCUUCAAGUCAGCAGGGCCUGAUGAAAUUCACCCUUGGAUGCUUAAGGAACUAAGUGAAAGCAAUCUUGGAACCGUUAGCAAUUAUCUUUGAGAACUGAUGGAGGACGGGUCAGCUCACAGAGAACUGGGGAAGGGUAAAUGAAGUCCCUAUUUUGAAAAAAAGGGACCAAAGAGGACGCAGGGAGUUACAGACCAGUCGGGCUAAUUUUGAUACCUGGAAAGAUAUUCGAACAAAUUAGUAAAAAAAUCAGUUUGUAAGCACCUAGAAGAUUAAGAAAUAGCCAGCAUGGAUUUGUCAAGAACAAAUCGUGCCAAACCAACCUAAUUUCCUUCCCUGACAAGGUUACUGGCCUAGUGGCUAGGGGGAAGCAGAAGAUGGGAUUUAUCUUGAUUUCAGUAAAGCUUUUGACCCAGUCCCACAUGCCAUUCUCAAAAGCAAACUAGGGAAAUGGAGUCUAGAUGGAAUUACUGUAAAACUGGAUGAAAACCUGAACUCAAAGACUAGUUAGCUAUGGUUCACUGUUAAACUGGGGGGAUGCAUUUAGUGGGGUCCCGCAGGGGUCUGCCUGUCUUGGGUCUGGCACUGUUCAUUAUUUUUACUAAUAACUUGCAUAAUGGAAUAGAGAGUUUGCUUAUAAAACUUGUGGAUGACACACCAAGCUGUGCGGGUUGCGAGCACUUCGGAGGACAGGAUUAGAAUUCAAAAUAAC